rnacentral:misc_RNA from 1 species
AAGACUAUAGACCUGCGGAGUACCUGCGGAAGGAUCAUUACCGAAAAAUACUAUAUAUAUGUGGCGUGCAGUAAGCGCGGUGUGGGCACAAUUAUGCGCUUGCACCGGUUGAUUGCGCGCCAUAUAUCUAUACACCCCUUGUGUGAACCAUUGAUUCUAUGUGCAUGCAGUCUUGGCGCUGGCGGUGCAGCAGUAGCUAACACUACCAAUGUCAAGGCCGCUGCACAUGAUCAACACCUU